UACGUAGGGUGCGAGCGUUAAUCGGAAUUACUGGGCGUAAAGCGUGCGCAGGCGGUUCGUUGUGUCGGCGGUGAAAGCCCCGGGCUCAACCUGGGAAUGGCCGUUGAAACUGGCGAACUGGAGUGUGGCAGAGGGGGGUGGAAUUCCGCGUGUAGCAGUGAAAUGCGUAGAGAUUUGGAGGAACACCAGUGGCGAAGGCGACUAUCUGGUCUGUAACUGACACUGAGGCGCGAAAGCGUGGGGAGCAAACAGG
rnacentral:rRNA from 1 species